AGGGCGUACGGUGGAUGCCUAGGCUCUCGGAGGCGAUGAAGGACGUGGCAAGCUGCGAGAAGCCGCGGGGAGGUGCAAGCAACCUUUGAUCCGCGGAUAUCCGAAUGGGACAACCCGGUGCCCUGAAGGGGCACCAUCCCGCACAGCGGGAGGCUAACGCAGGGAACUGAAACAUCUUAGUACCUGCAGGAAAAGAAAAUAACAAUGAUUCCCCCAGUAGUGGCGAGCGAACGGGGAAGAGCCCAAACCCGCCCUGUUACGGCAGGACGGGGGUUGUAGGACUGCGGCAUCGCAUGAACGAUGGCGAGCGGAACGCUCUGGAAAGAGCGACCAUAGACGGUGAUAGUCCGGUACGCGAAGCCAUGGGAAGCGUAGCAGUAUCCUGAGUAACGCGGGACACGUGAAAUCCUGCGCGAAUCAGCCGGGACCAUCCGGCAAGGCUAAAUACUCCCGGGAGACCGAUAGUGAACCAGUACCGUGAGGGAAAGGUGAAAAGCACUCCGAACAGGAGGUUGAAAUAGUCCCUGAAACCGUACGCCUACAAGCGGUCGGAGCAGCAUCAAGCUGUGACGGCGUGCCUUUUGCAUAAUGAACCUACGAGUUGCCGUCGCCGGCAAGGUUAAGGGAAAUGAUUCCCGCAGCCGAAGCGAAAGCGAGUCUGAAUAGGGCGUCCAGUCCGCGGCGGCAGACGCGAAACCGUGUGAUCUACCCUUGUCCAGGAUGAAGUCCGGGUAACGCCGGAUGGAGGUCCGAACCGAUAAGCGUUGAAAAGCUUCCGGAUGAGGUGAGGGUGGGGGUGAAAGGCUAAUCAAACUCGGAGAUAGCUCGUACUCCCCGAAAUGCAUUUAGGUGCAGCCUUGUACGUUCCAGACCAGAGGUAGAGCGACUGAUAAGACGCGAGGGCUUCACCGCCUAUCAAGUCUUGACAAACUCCGAAUGCUGGUAUUGCCAAAGUACAGGAGUGAGGGCGUGGGUGCUAAGGUCCGCGCCCGAGAGGAGAACAAUCCAGACCGUCGUCUAAGGCCCCGAAAUAACCACUAAGUUAGUCUAACGAAGUCCGGUUGCAGAGACAGCUAGGAUGUUGGCUUGGAAGCAGCCAUUCAUUUAAAGAGUGCGUAACAGCUCACUAGUCGAGGAACCGGGCGUGGAUAAUAAUCGGGUAUUAAGUGGUUUGCCGAAGACUCGGGAUCAAUACGAUCGGUAGGGGAGCAUUCCAUCGGCGUUGAAUGUCUUCCGUGAGGAGGGCUGGAGCUUAUGGAAAAGCAAAUGUAGGUAUAAGUAACGAUAAAGGGGGCGGGAAACCCCCUCGCCGAAAGACCAAGGUUUCCUGAUCAACGCUAAUCGGAUCAGGGUAAGUCGGGCCCUAAGGCACAGCCUAACGGCGUAGCCGAUGGCAGAAACGGUAAAGAUUCCGUUACUGCCGCAUGUGGUGACGCGGGGACGCAGGAGUGACACCGCCGCCACCUGACGGAAUAGGUGGUUGAAGGGUGUAGGAGUAGAUUCCGGCAGGCAAAUCCGCCGGGAGAUCCGAACCUGAUAGUAUGGCGCGUCCUUCGGGACAAGCCAAUAGCGCGGGUAAGCGUGCUGCCGAGAAAAUCCGCUACGCAUAACACAUGCGGCACCCGUACCGAAACGGACACACGUGGUCGGGUAGAAUAUACUAAGGCGCUUGGGUGAGUCACGGUUAAGGAACUAGGCAAAUUGACCCUGUAACUUCGGGACAAAGGGUCCCUACCCCAGUGAUGGGGAGGGCGCAGCGAAUCGGUCCAGGCAACUGUUUACCAAAAACACAGGGCUGUGCGAAUUCGAAAGAAGAGGUAUACAGCCUGACACCUGCCCGGUGCCGGAAGGUUAAGAGGAGAGGUCAUCGCAAGAGAAGCCUUGAAUUGAAGCCCCGGUAAACGGCGGCCGUAACUAUAACGGUCCUAAGGUAGCGAAAUUCCUUGUCGGGGAAGUUCCGACCUGCACGAAUGGUGUAAUGAUCUGGACGCUGUCUCAACCGUGAGCCCAGUGAAAUUGUAGUAUCGGUGAAGAUGCCGAUUACCCGCGAUGGGACGAAAAGACCCCGUGAACCUUUACUAUAGCUUAGCAUUGGAUCUGGGCACGUGAUGUGUAGGAUAGGCCGGAGGCAUUGAAGCAGGUACGCCAGUAUUUGUGGAGCCGCCGUUGAAAUACGGCCCUUUAUUUGUUUGGAUUCUAACUCCUAGUUGGAGGACAUUGCUUGGUGGGUAGUUUGACUGGGGU
rnacentral:rRNA from 1 species